rnacentral:lncRNA from 1 species
CACCAUUAUUCUCAGAUAUAAUUUACACACUUCUUCAUCGUGCUUAUUCUCCAACUUUGCCUAUAACAGAUCUUAAGAGGCGAUUUGGACAUGCUUUACAUAUAUGAUAGAUGAAAGAGACCACAAGCCUGAACAGAGGGGGAAAUGAUGCCUAAAUGAAGACCUGAGAAAGCACAACAGCAUUGCUUAUCAGCUUGAGUGAUAUUCCACUGGGGUUAAAUGGACAUCAGGGUUCCUGCACUGGAAGAAACAGACAAAGGGCAGAAGGAACACCAUGAGCAACAGGUCAAACAAAGACAUCAAGACAUUUAA